UAAGUCUACUGUUCAGAGCAAAGGUCUUUCCACACUCCAUGCAUUUAUAUGGCUUCUCCCCUGUAUAGAUCAUCAUAUGGGAAAAAAGAUGACCUCUUUGAGCAAAUGUCUUUCCACACUCCAUGCAUUUAUAUGGCUUCUCCCCUGUGUGGAUCUUUUUGUGGAUAGU